AAGUCGUAACAAGGUUUCCGUAGGUGAACCUGCGGAAGGAUCAUUAACGUAUCUCCUCGGGGGCGGUCUGCGUGGGCCCCGCUCCGGUUCCGACCGUGAAGCGGGCCCCGUCCCCCUCGAAAAAAACCCCCACAAACCCCACUGUGCACCUUUUGCGGCAGAGGGCGUGGCGCGAGCCCCGUCCGAAGCUGCAGUCUUCACAGACACGGUUUCUCGAAUGUGCAGCGGACUCUGUUCCGUCCAUAACACUGACAACUUUCAACAACGGAUCUCUUGGCUCUC
rnacentral:misc_RNA from 1 species